rnacentral:RNase_P_RNA from 1 species
GCGGAUGGCCGGGCGGCCGCUUUCGUGCCUGGCGUUGCCAGGUCACGCGAGAGGAAAGUCCGGACUCCACAAGGCAACGGUGCCGGGUAACGCCCGGCCGGGGCAACCCGAGGGAAAGCGCCACAGAGAACAAACCGCCCUGCAGAGUUUGGAGGUUCGCCUCCGGCAAUACGGGGUAAGGGUGAAACGGUGGGGUAAGAGCCCACCGCGGGGCCGGCAACGGUUCCGGCAUGGCAAGCCCCACCGGGAGCAAUGCCGAAUAGGGAUCUCACGUUGGCCGCAAGGCCGCAGGGCCGCCUUGGCCCGGAGGUCCGGGUUGGCAGCUAGAGGCGUCCGGCAACGGGCGCCGCAGAGGAAUGGUCGCCGGCGGGGCAACCCGUCACAGAAUCCGGCUUACAGGCCGUCCGCGCGC